ACACUUGGGAACCAUUUUGGGUUUUUUUGUUUUUUUGUUUUUUAAUUUUUUUUUUAACAUUUAUUUAUUUUUGAGACAGAGAGAGACAGAGCAUGAACGGGGGAGGGGCAGAGAGAGAGGGAGACACAGAAUCGGAAGCAGGCUCCAGGCUCUGAGCCAUCAGCCCAGAGCCCAAUGCGGGGCUUGAACUGACGGACCGCGAGAUUGUGACCUGAGCCAAAGUCGGAUGCUCAACCAACUGAGCCACCCAGGAGCCCCUUGGAGACCAUUUUGAAACAGUGAAAGUACCAACAAAAAAACAAAAUGUGAAAGAUAUGGUACUAAAUAGAUUGUGAAAAGGCCACUUAUUUAUGGUAGGAGAGCUGAAACAACAAGGCAGAGCAUCACCUUCUUGGACCUCAGCUGCGAGUAUGUAACACCUCAGGCAACUUGAACUUUUCACUGCCCUGCACUUUGCUGUGCAAGAUCGCGAAAGCCCCCAGACAUUGAUUUUGGGGUUACAAGUACAUUUUAGAAAAUAGGCAAAUUCGAAAUAUGGACUCUGUGUAUAAAUACUAAGGCUCAACCAUGUAUAUGUUGCCUCUCAUUUAUUUUUAGACACUAUCAUGGGGUGCCUGACCAGCUCUAUUGGUAGAACAUGCGACUCUUGAUCUUGGAGUUGUGAGUUCGAGCCCAGUGUUGGGUGUAGAAAUUACUUAAAAAUAAACACUACUGGGGACGCCUGGGUGGCUCAGUCAGUUAAGUAUCUGACUUGGUUUUGGCUCAGGUCAUGAUCUCACAGUUUGUGGGUUCGAGCCCCACAUCAGGCCCUGCUUGGGAUUCUCUCUCUUUCUCUCUCUGCUCCUCCCACGUGCUCUUUCCCUCUCUCUCUCUUUCUCAAAAUAAAUAUAUAAUCUUUAAAAAUAAAUAAAUAAGGGACACCUAUGUGGCUCAGUUGGUUAAGCAUCCGACUUCAGCUCAGGUCAUGAUCUCACUGUUUGUGAGUUUGAGCCCUAGGUCAGGCUCUAUGCUGACAGCUCAGGGCCUGGAGCCUGCUUUGGAUUCUGUGUCUCCCUCUCUCUCUGCCCCUCCCCCACUCAUGCUCUCUGUCUCUCUCUCUCUGUCUCUCAAAAAAAUAAAACAUUAAAAAUAAUCAAAGUAAAUAAAUAAAUGCUACUGAUAGCACACUAUACCCUGUCAAAUUGUAUAACACCUUGACUUUUUCCCUUAAAAAUACAUCUGAAGGCCCUGCUGUUACUAAUUUAUGGGACUCUGCAGCUGCAUAGUGCCAUGUUUAUUUAACCAGCCUCCCCUGAUAGAUACGAAGGUGUCAGUCUUCUACUCUUAUAAUCAAUACUGCUGUGAAUAACCUGGGUAGGGCACAUCUGCAAGUCUAGCUGGGGGAUAAUCCUUAGAUAAAUUCUUUUUUUUUUUCUUUUUUUUAAUGUUUGCUUAUUUUUGAGAGAGAGAGUGUGUGUGAGCAGCAGAAGGGCAGAGAGAGAGGGAGACAUAGAAUCCGAAGCAUGAUCCAGGCUCUGAGCUGUCAGCACAGGGUCCAACGCGGGCCUCGAACCCACGAGCUGUGAGAUUGGAUGCUUAACUGACUGAGCCACCCAGGCACCCCCUUAGAUAAAUUCUUUCUAGUAAAUGGGCCCGUGCAUUGAUGAUGGGAGUAGUUGUUCCACAUUUCCCUCAGUGUAGAGGGUUUACAUUCCGAUCUCAGAGGUGGCAUUCACCUUACCUCCUUGCCAACCUGGUACAUCCUCAAACAAUUUUUGCCAAUCUGAUAAACAACAAAGUGUACCUUGGUUGGUUUUGUUUGCAUUUCUGUUCUGAGUGAGGUUGAGCAUCUUUUCAUAUUGUAUUCCAUUUUCUGUGAACCAGGCACUGUCUGCUCACGCAAGGGGGCUUCUAAAACGUGUUUGUAAGCACAGAAAUCUUUGCUCUCCAGCUAGGGAGUGUAACCUUUUGGGUCAGAGCAUGAGCCUUGGGAUAGGAGACCCCAGAGUCCAAACCCCUCUUCUGCCCUUUCCUGGCUUGGUGGCUUUCCACUAAUUUUCUGCUUCUCUGAGCCUCAGUUUCCUCAUUUGUAAGAUGAGUGUUGUAAGACUUUUCUUCAUCCUGUUGCUCUGAAAGUUAAAUGGGAUGCUUUGUGUAAUGUCCCUAACAUGUGCCCAGCCCAUGAUAAGCACUCACGAAUGGUAGUAUUGGUGUUGGUCAGAAUUGGUUGAAAAUUGGUCCAGGCAACAAAGAGGGCACCUACUGGUUCCUGUAGCUGAUAAGUUCUGGGAGUGUGCUCUCUUCCAGCAUGCUUGGGUGAGGGUGCCCAGAUGGUGGCAUCAGGACUGUCUCUGUCUCCUUGGGGUGGCUUCUCCCUUAGGAAGGUUCCCACAGGUGGAACCUGCGUGAGGUCAGUUGUUCCAGGCUGUGUCCUUACAGCUUAGCAACUCCCCUAACUCCCUUCCCCUCGGUAGUUCCAGCAACAGUCCAGGCCCGUUUGCAUUCUCCUAAGCCAGUCGCCAUGAAUCCAAGUGACUAUGUCUGUCAGACACUUGUCCUAGUCUCUGUGGAUCGGACAGGGCAAGAGAAGAGAGUGAUUUUCUGAAGGAAAGCAAGCAUUUUUGGUGCCAGAAGACAGACUAGAUGCUGGGUGGGCAAAAACAACAGAUGUCCAUCAUGAAAUAAUAGUACUAACUCCUACCAUCACCCACUCCCACUGCCACCUGCCAAGUCGGCUGCCAGCCUGCCCCGGGCUUGCUUUCACUUUCACACCCACCCCCUCA